rnacentral:rRNA from 1 species
GAUGAACGCUAGCGGCAGGCCUAAUACAUGCAAGUCGAACGGGAUUGCGGUGUAGCUUGCUACACUGCAUGAGAGUGGCGCACGGGUGCGUAACGCGUGAGCAACCUACCCAUAUCAGGGGGAUAGCCCGGAGAAAUCCGGAUUAACACCGCAUGGGACAGUAUUACCGCAUGGUAUAGCUGUUAAAUAUUUAUAGGAUAUGGAUGGGCUCGCGUGACAUUAGCUAGUUGGUGGGGUAACGGCUCACCAAGGCGACGAUGUCUAGGGGCUCUGAGACGAGAAUCCCCCACACGGGUACUUGGACACGGACCAGACUCCUACGGGAGGCAGCAGUAAGGAAUAUUGGUCAAUGGGCGGAAGCCUGAACCAGCCAUGCCGCGUGCAGGACGACUGCCCUAUGGGUUGUAAACUGCUUUUGUACGGGAAUAACCCUCUCUACGAGUAGAGAGCUGAACGUACCGUAAGAAUAAGGAUCGGCUAACUCCGUGCCAGCCGCCGCUGUAA